UCGUGCUCGUGAUACGCAUACACAUUACCGGAUAGCAUACGCUCAAUGCUAUAUACAUAUAAAAUGAAAUAACUCUUGCAACAAAUAUAUAUACACGGAUUUAACUGGUUGAUGUUGCCGAUCGUAAGAACGAGAUGAUUGAGUACUGGAAAUAAACGUCAGUAUCAAGAAUAUUUGGUAAUGUAGUAUAAGUGCUACAGUUACCAGACAUUUAUCAGCACUUAACAACGACAAUGAUUUUUCUGUUUGUUAUCGUAGCACACGCUUGAAAUAAUUUCCUCAUCGUUGAUCGAUGUAUUAUGUAUAGAAAGUAAUGAAAAAAAUAAGUAGAACAGAUAAAAGGAAGAAGCAAUUCGAUCCACGUUUGUUGCACGAAUGUUACAGCCGAGUUACAAAUUCGAGUUCUUCCACGAUUUCUCGAACUUACGAUCGCUGUGGCGAUCAGCGUUGCCCGAUGGUACACUAUAAUUAAAAAUUACUUAAUAAUAAGCGUCGCAAUAAUAAGAAACGAACGCGUCACGGUGAAUAAAUCCGCCGCGGAUUCGCUAAUCGCCGUUCUCUCUAGAUCGGAGGA